rnacentral:rRNA from 1 species
CAAUAGCGUAUAUUAAAGUUGUUGCAGUUAAAAAGCUCGUAGUUGGAUUUCUGGUUGAAGCGAACGGUCGGGCGUUGAUUCGUCUGCACUGGAGUCGGUUUUGGCCAUCCUCUAGGAAAGUGCGUCUGGUAUUAAGUUAUCGGGCGUAUGAUCCUGGUCUUUUACUGUGAAAAAAUUAGAGUGUUUAAAGCAGGCCUUCGCCUUGAAUACAUUAGCAUGGAAUAAUAAGAUAGGACUUUGGUCUAUUUUGUUGGUUUGCAGACCGAAGUAAUGAUUAAUAGGGAUAGUUGGGGGUAUUUAUAUUCCGAUGUCAGAGGUGAAAUUCUUAGAUUUUCGGAAGAUAAACUUAUGCGAAAGCAUUUACCAAGGAUGUUUUCAUUAA